rnacentral:rRNA from 2 species
GAAAUGUUGGGUUAAGUCCCGCAACGAGCGCAACCCUUAUCCUUUGUUGCCAGCGGUCCGGCCGGGAACUCAAAGGAGACUGCCAGUGAUAAACUGGAGGAAGGUGGGGAUGACGUCAAGUCAUCAUGGCCCUUACGAGUAGGGCUACACACGUGCUACAAUGGCGCAUACAAAGAGAAGCGACCUCGCGAGAGCAAGCGGACCUCAUAAAGUGCGUCGUAGUCCGGAUUGGAGUCUGCAACUCGACUCCAUGAAGUCGGAAUCGCUAGUAAUCGUAGAUCAGAAUGCUACGGUGAAUACGUUCCCGGG